rnacentral:rRNA from 1 species
UUGGGAAUCUUGGACAAUGGGGGAAACCCUGAUCCAGCCAUGCCGCGUGAGUGAUGAAGGCCUUCGGGUUGUAAAACUCUUUCGACGGGGACGAUAAUGACGGUACCCGUAGAAGAAGCUCCGGCUAACUUCGUGCCAGCAGCCGCGGUAAUACGAAGGGGGCUAGCGUUGUUCGGAAUUACUGGGCGUAAAGCGCGCGCAGGCGGCUAUCCAAGUCAGUGGUGAAAGCCCGGAGCUCAACUCCGGAACUGCCAUUGAAACUGUUUAGCUUGAGGACGAGAGAGGUGAGUGGAAUUCCCAGUGUAGAGGUGAAAUUCGUAGAUAUUGGGAGGAACACCAGCGGCGCAGGCGGCUCACUAGACAGUUUCUGACGCUAAGAUACGAAAGCGUGGGGAGCAAACA